rnacentral:lncRNA from 1 species
CCAUGCUACACUGAGCAUGCCAUUACAUUACACAUUCAGUGUCCUGUCCUAAGAAUUUCACUUCUAGACAUUGCACAUGAAUUGUGUCCUGGUGUAUGUUAUCAUGCCUGUGUAUUGCCUUUGUCAAUUUUAGAAAGAAGUAAUGAAUCAUGUCUCCUUUGACUUCAGAGACGCUUGAAUUCCUUAAAACUGUGCCUCUUGUGAAUGGAUUUGGACCACACCAGGAUCCCUGAUGUGGAAGCCAGUGGGAUCAUCCUGGAAAGGGAUCUGCCCCUAUUUUGGAUAAUUCUCUCCAAACAUAUCUUCUUUUGAUUUCCUGCACUGGAUUCCCAAGUUCCUGUAGAAUCAUGGAACUUGAAGAGAUUUCAAGAAGUUCCCUCUUUGGUCUUUGCCCACAGGCAAGGAAACAACUAAAUCAUGUAACACUGGUCUGUAGAAUUGUUCUUAGACAUUUAACAUAGAUAGAGAUUCUAUGUUGGCUUUUGAUAGCUAAAAUUUUGCAGAAAUAUUUCCCUUAUCAUUAGAGAAUUAGUUCUGGGUUGCAAAUCAAUAUCUAUCAAUUUUAAAAAGAAAAUCUUAAGUUCUUAUUAUGGUAGUCUCUAGGUAUACAAAGACAAAAUCACAAUGUCUGGUCUCAAGAACUUGCAUUCUACCAAGGAGAUGUAACAUAUAUACAGAUAAGAAAUUUUAAGGUAGGGAAAGAAGGGGACACAAGAGAGAUCCGAGGACUCUGAAACUGUUUGAGGAAGAAGAAAAUGUUAAGAACUAAUAACACAAAAUCUUCACCAAAUAGUUGACACCAAUGAAUAUCCUUGAAUGAUGGCAAAUGAUCUAAAGGGCAGAAAUGAGAAGGGAAUAUAUUCUGAGGAUUAGGAAUAGUUUUGGAAACUACCUGGAGGUAGUAGAUGAUAGCUGGAGUAUAGAGUGUACAAAGGGAAGCAAUAGGAAAUAAAGUUGGAAGAGCAGGCUGGAAAUUUAUUAAG